GACGAACGCUGGCGGCGUGCUUAACACAUGCAAGUCGAACGAAGAGCGAUGGAAGCUUGCUUCUAUCAAUCUUAGUGGCGCACGGGUGAGUAACGCGUAAUCAACCUGCCCUUCAGAGGGGGACAACAGUUGGAAACGACUGCUAAUACCGCAUACGAUCUAAUCUCGGCAUCGAGGAAAGAUGAAAGGUGGCCUCUAUUUAUAAGCUAUCACUGAAGAAGGGGAUUGCGUCUGAUUAGCUAGUUGGAGGGGUAACGGCCCACCAAGGCGAUGAUCAGUAGCCGGUCUGAGAGGAUGAACGGCCACAUUGGGACUGAGACACGGCCCAGACUCCUACGGGAGGCAGCAGUGGGGAAUCUUCCGCAAUGGACGAAAGUCUGACGGAGCAACGCCGCGUGAGUGAUGACGGCCUUCGGGUUGUAAAGCUCUGUUAAUCGGGACGAAAGGCCUUCUUGCGAACAGUUAGAAGGAUUGACGGUACCGGAAUAGAAAGCCACGGCUAACUACGUG
rnacentral:rRNA from 1 species